rnacentral:rRNA from 1 species
GACGUAGGGCGCGAGCGUUGUCCGGAAUUAUUGGGCGUAAAGAGCUCGUAGGCGGUCUGUUGCGUCCGCUGUGAAAACUCGGGGCUUAACUCCGAGCCUGCAGUGGGUACGGGCAGACUAGAGUGCGGUAGGGGAGACUGGAAUUCCUGGUGUAGCGGUGAAAUGCGUAGAUAUCAGGAGGAACACCGGUGGCGAAGGCGCCUAUCUGGCCCGAUACUGACGCUGAGGCGCGAAAGCUAGGGGAGCAAACGGG